GAUGAAGAACGUAGCGAAAUGCGAUACUUGGUGUGAAUUGCAGAAUCCCGUGAACCAUCGAGUCUUUGAACGCAAGUUGCGCCCGAAGCCAUUAGGCCGAGGGCACGCCUGCCUGGGCGUCACACGUCGUUGCCCCCCCAUCUACUCCUUCGGGAUUGCGGGGGGCGGAUGAUGGCCUCCCGUGCGCCUCGCCGCGCGGUUGGCAUAAAUGCCAAGUCCUCGGCGACGCACGCCACGACAAUCGGUGGUCGCGAAACCUCGGUUGCCCGUCGUGUGCGGUCGUCGCGCAUCGAGGGCUCGAAAAAAUUGCCGGGUUCCGGCUCGGCUUUCAACGCGACCCCAGGUCAGGCGGGGUUACCCGCUGAAUUUAAGCAUAUCAAUAAGCGGAGGA
rnacentral:misc_RNA from 1 species